rnacentral:piRNA from 1 species
UGGCACUAAACAGCAGUGACAGGGUCCUU